rnacentral:rRNA from 1 species
UACGUAGGGUGCGAGCGUUGUCCGGAAUUAUUGGGCGUAAAGAGCUCGUAGGCGGUGUGUCACGUCGGCCGUGAAAACCUGCAGCUUAACUGUGGGCGUGCGGUCGAUACGGGCAUCACUGGAGUUCGGCAGGGGAGACUGGAAUUCCUGGUGUAGCGGUGAAAUGCGCAGAUAUCAGGAGGAACACCGGUGGCGAAGGCGGGGUCUCUGGGGCCCGAUACUGACGUGAGGAGCGAAAAGCGUGGGGGGAGCAAAACAGG